ACUCAGGUUCUUAAAGGAGGUUGGCAGCACCUGCUCCACACAAGAGCAUCAGACCCCCCAGCUCACAAUUAACAUCACACCCGCUUAAGAACAGAAAACACAUGUAUUAGAAAAAAUAAAGAAUUACAGCUCAACAACAAAUAAUUACACAACAUAUGAGACAUUACACAAGUACUGUCACGGUCCUGGGUCGGUGACCCAGUGUUUUGAGUUUCUUGUGUCUCUGAGUUAUGUAUUGUGAUCUUAGUUCCCUUUGUUCCCCCAGUUUAUUCUUUAGUCUAGUGUCUUAGUUUGGUUUUCUUGUAUUCUCUUUAGUUCUGAGUAUUUAAUAGCUGCCCUCUGUGUCUCUUUGUUGUUGUUCUGUGUUUCUUAGUUGCUCUGUCUCCCCUAGUCUAGUUUGCGUCUGUGCCACUUCCUGUUUUACUUUGAAGGUCCAUGUCUCUUGCGAGUGUAUUCUACUUUGCUCCCUCGUCUCGUCAGUUCUGAUUUCUCCCAGCUGUGUCUCAUUCCCCUCGUUACUUCCCAGUGUAUUUUAGCCCUCUGUUUCCCUGUGUCAGUGUCGCGUUCUCCCCCAUGGCUGUGUUUUCCUAUGUGUCAGUUUAUCUAUGUCCCAGUUUAGUUUUGUUAUAUUUUUUGUGCUAGCCUGCAAUAAAGCAGUGUUUUGAGUUCACUUUUGUCUUGGAACAGUGCAGCAUCCAGCAAGUAGGAGCGUCACCUGGAGCGAUGAACCUUCACCAUGAGGAAAAACGCCGCCAAGUCACCAGACCACAAGUGGAGAGCAGGAGGCAGCAGCUCCAGAGAAAGCAGGAUGUGCAGCCUCAGAGAGGAGGAGGCUGCAGCUGCAAUUGUCAUGGCUGUGUGCAGGCAGGCAGGAAAAGGAUCCAAACGCAGACUCCAAAACACAGAAGAAAAACUCAAAACACUUUAUUGCUGGCAACAACAAAACAGAGACCUAAACCUAAAACAGGACAGAAAACACAAUUUCCCGGAGCUGUGACCCUGGACCCCUGAGUGCGAGUGGAGCUGUUCAGCGUGAAGUUGUGUGUGCGAGGAGCGUGGAGAGUGUGUGAGGACCUUGUGUUUCCCUACCCUGUGGACCAUAUUCCCCCCCACGUGUAUAUAGAGCACCUGGUGUGGUUAAUAAAGCUAAGUUAA